AAAUCUUAGUUUCUCUGUGUAGUUAUUGGGGACUCACUAAGGUAAAGAAAUACAGCUGUUGGAUUAAUUUACUGAUUACAUUUAUAUUAAAAUAAUUCAUUUUACAGGUCACAGCUAUGUGAACUCCGCUGUAACCAGGCUUCCUGCAGUCAUGGUGGUCUUCCAUGCCGGGGAUUCCCAGGAAGCCGCCAGCAUUUCUCAGCCUGAAGUUCAUCUCUUCUCCUCCUUGGACACUCCCAGCCUUCACUUGCACUCUUUUAUGACACUGUGAUUUACCUCCCAUAAUCCCAAGUGGAUACAUCAUACCCGCAGAAACUACUUAUUUGUCCUCCCGACUGAAAUAUAACUUCUACAAAGACCAACCUCAGCUCACCAAAGUACGAGCAAUUAUGCCAUCUUCUCUGCCUCUUAGGCCAAGGAUACAACGGUCAUGUUGGGAAACUCUUCUUCAGGAUAACCCUGUAAAGGUGAGCUGAACUAGAACUACAAGUUAACAGGUGCAAAGAAUUCAGACUCCAGCUCAUUUAUCCUAAUGGCUGCUGGGCCUGAUGACAGCACUCUGGAUCCAGCUAUGGGAGUAUGAUAUGGUGUGGCAUGUGAUUUAGAACUCCCUGAAAACUCCUGAGAGAGACAAAGGGCCCUUCAACAUUCCCACUCCACAGAGCAGCUGUGGAAGGCACACACGGUACUUGAGCAUCUGACGUCAAACCGCAGCAGUCAGGUAAGGACUGUCAUUUCUUCUCCACAAACAGGAAUUUACUGGUUUCCUUAACUGGGCAGUGACACCUGGCUUCCUAUGUUUCAGCUGGGGAGGGUGUCCUUGCCCUGCCUGAGAAGGGGUGUCUGCAGACUGACAUAGUCCCUGCCAAGAGAUUAUCUGGCAUCCUGGAUGAGCAGUUGGUGUAUCCAGCUAGAAGUGGGAGUGUACUAGGUAUCUCAUAAAGAAACAAAAACUUAACACUGCAGUGUAGUUGAGCUGCAUGUUGCUAAAAACUGGGAUGGGGGAACUUUCUACCCCUCACUCUGCUUGCUCUGCCUUCCACUGUGCCAGAUAAAGAGUACAGAAAACAAUUCCUUCUCGAUCCUAGUACUCAGGGUAAGUGCUUGCUGUCGGUGCAGUCAGUUUCUCAGAGGCUUGGUGGGCCCAAAGCAGGUCAUGACUCUAAUAGUAUACGGAUUCAUAUUUCCAAAAUAUCCACUUGAUCUCUAUGGUUAUAGGAGAGACCCAUGAAAAUGGAAAGCUACAGAAUGAACUCUUUGCUGACGUGUGAACUGGAUAUUAAGCCCCUUCUUUUGUCCACUUUGUCUUUGUGAAAACUGUCUAUCUUCUAAAGCAACAUGGCCAACAUGGCUACACGUCAGCGGAACCUAACACCAUGCUGAGAAGAUGACUCUGGGAAACUUUAAGAUGAUUCUCAAAUGAGCUGGAAGACUGGAGUGACCAUUACCACCUCCCCCAACAGGAACAUUGUAACUACAGUAUGUUCUUUAACCAGGAAUGAAACUCCAAAAUCAUCCUUCAUAAAAGCUACCCUGUUCUGGUUUUCCUAGUUCUCCAGUCUGUCUGUUUUUUAUCCAGAGAUGCAAUGCAGGUACUAUGUUGUGGUGUUAGCAUCGCAGACCCUUAGUUUCCAUGGCUUAAAGAUAUUUUUUCUUAAAAUAAUCAUAAUCAAGUUUAUGAAUGAAAACACACACACACACACACACACACACACACACGGCCAGGCAUGGGAGUCAAAUACUUCACCAUCUUUAUUGUAUGUAGAACCUAAAAAUGACAAUAUUAUGGAGGUGAGGAAUAGAAACUAGUGUCAAGGCAGAAAUAUGAACCAAGGAGAUUAUGGUCCAAGGUCCAUGUUUAAGACAAGAAAAUUCUG